AAUAGAUACCCUGGUAGUCCACGCCGUAAACGAUGAGUGCUAAGUGUUAGAGGGUUUCCGCCCUUUAGUGCUGCAGCUAACGCAUUAAGCACUCCGCCUGGGGAGUACGGCCGCAAGGCUGAAACUCAAAGGAAUUGACGGGGGCCCGCACAAGCGGUGGAGCAUGUGGUUUAAUUCGAAGCAACGCGAAGAACCUUACCAGGUCUUGACAUCCUCUGCCAACCCUAGAGAUAGGGCGUUCCCCUUCGGGGGACAGAGUGACAGGUGGUGCAUGGUUGUCGUCAGCUCGUGUCGUGAGAUGUUGGGUUAAGUCCCGCAACGAGCGCAACCCUUGAUCUUAGUUGCCAGCAUUCAGUUGGGCACUCUAAGGUGACUGCCGGUGACAAACCGGAGGAAGGUGGGGAUGACGUCAAAUCAUCAUGCCCCUUAUGACCUGGGCUACACACGUGCUACAAUGGAUGGUACAAAGAGUAGCGAACCCGCGAGGGUAAGCCAAUCUCAUAAAGCCAUUCUCAGUUCGGA
rnacentral:rRNA from 1 species